GUGGGGAAUAUUGGGCAAUGGGCGAAAGUCUGAUCUAGCAACACCGCGUGUGCGAAGAAGGCCUUCGGGUCGUAAAGCACUUUUUGGAAGGAAUAGGAAGGAAUGUACUUCCAGAAUAAGUCUCGGCUAACUACGUGCCAGCAGCCGCGGUAACACGUAGGAGGCAAACGUUAUCCGGAUUUACUGGGCGUAAAGCGCGUGUAGGUGGUACUGUAAGUAGGGCGUGAAAGCUCCUGGCUCAACUGGGAGAGGCCGUUCUAAACUACAGAACUAGAGGAUGGUAGAGGGAGGUGGAAUUCCAGGUGUAGCGGUGGAAUGCGCAGAUAUCUGGAGGAACACCGGUGGCGAAGGCGGCCUCCUGGACCAUUCCUGACACUCAGACGCGAAAGCUAGGGUAGCAAACGGGAUUAGAUACCCCAGUAGUCC
rnacentral:rRNA from 1 species